GCAGGCUGCAACCCGCCUGCGUGAAGUUGGAAUCGCUAGUAAUCGCGGAUCAGCAUGCCGCGGUGAAUACGUUCCCGGGCCUUGUACACACCGCCCGUCACACCAUGAGAGUCGGGAACACCCGAAGUCCGUAGCCUAACUGCAAAGGGGGCGCGGCCGAAGGUGGGUUCGAUAAUUGGGGUGAAGUCGUAACAAGGUAGC
rnacentral:rRNA from 1 species